rnacentral:misc_RNA from 1 species
GUUGUGUAAAGUUUGUACCACAAUCAGCUUUAUGAGUGUGUGACAUUUGAUAUGGAUUUUUCUGUGUGGACAAUGUAUAAGAAUGUUUCUUUGGAAACAUUGAUUUCUUAAUUAUGUCUGUAAAGGCAAAUGGAUCUCCCCGGAUUUAUCUACCUCAGAUUUCAGCUCAUCAGACAAAUAGAGGGGCCCUAAACAGAAAACAGGAUUUAUUUAAACCAAGUCAAGGAAACCCCUUUGCUUAUAGCUAUGGUAGAGAGAAAAGCAGGGAUCAGCUAUUACAUCAAUCAGGUUAUAGACAAGAGAUCAAUAGAAGAAGAAAAACCCUCCAAGAGAGGUUCAUGGGCCAUCAACGAAACACACACCUCUGUACCAAAACUGUACAAUUCUUUUGGAUCCAAAGUCAGGGAGCACUCUUUUACUUCCUUUGACAAUUCAGAUGAGGUCUCCUCCAGUAUUGAGAACAGUCAUUCAUUUGGAGACAGUGCUUCCGGCAGGCGAAGGAAACAGUGGUCAAGGCCAAAUAAAAAUAUAGCCCAGCAAGAAAUUCCGGUGUCAAUAGAGGAGGAAAAUGGUUAUGUUGAGUCCAAUCAAGGAAUUGAUCCAUAUCAAGGUACCCCUAGAAUUAUCUAUGACAGACAUGGUCCCGUUACCGCCACUUAUGAACCUAGCUUUGGUGGACCCCCGGUUCCUACCAAUCACACUCCAAGUUCUCACAGAUAUCAUCGGACACCCCGUAACAGACGACCGGGACAACCCCCCAGUUCUGAUUCUAUUGGUGCCCUCAACACAGGGUCAACGCGCUCUGGAGAGGAAAAUACUUCCAACAUAAACAAUCUCUUGGAGAGGUUUGCAUCAGAAAUUGAUGAAGAGUCGUACCUCAAUUUGAAUCGCCACAACAAGCCAAAUAUGUUUGGUAGCAAUUACCGGCCUUUUUAUCCUUCCCCUAGUAACUUUGUUGUAAGUCCUCCCCCUCGUGCCAAAACCAAAGCCAAACCAGUAUUGACAGACAAGAGAGCAAGUGCUCCCACUAGACCUGCUCAGCAGGACUCAAGUGCUCAGUCCAAAGUGCCUCCUAGUUUACCAAGUGCUAUUAAAGUUGUAGGGAAACCACCUAUCAGUGGGAGAGUGGUGAAGAAUGAAAGAAAGAAAAUAAUUCCGGCAGAUUCUGCAGAAACAAGGCCUGCAAAAUAUACAUAUACUAUAGAAAACGAAGCCGAUUCAAAAAAUAGUGCUAAGAAAUCUACUGACAAAUCUGAAGAUAGACCGGCUAAGUACACAUUUACUAAGGAGAAAACCUUCACAAAGGAUGAUGAUGAAGAAAGGCCUUCAAAAUACACAUAUACUAUUGACAAAGAUUCUAAAACUAGAUCUGUGACAUUCAAGGAAGAUAAUAAGAAAAAUGGCAAAAACACAGUAUUAAAAUCUAAUGCAAAAACUAAAAGCAAGCCAGCCCCUAGUAUCAGUACUGAGCCCCCUACUGUAGCAGCUUCUGUGAAAGCACCUACAACUACUGACCAAUCAGAAUCUCUUUCCCCAGGUCGUAAAAAUUGGUCCCCGCCAACUGGCGAACUGUUCGACGAAGAUCCACGGCAGUUCUGGGUGGAUAUGAAUUCCAAAAAGGAAGGUAAAAAAUCGUGACCUUAUGUUAAUUUAUGGAGUGAUUAGAUGCUUUAGUAUACAGUUUCUCAUAUAGUGCAGCAACAAGUGAUUAUCUGGACAGUGUGAUAUCAAUCAGGAAAAACCCAACCAGAAAUACAGUAAAACAUGGACUCUGAAAUAUUGUUUUACUGGUGAAAAAUGCCAGACUAAUCGAGAUCUUUUUAUUAUGAAUAAAAGUUUUCAACAUUCUUUUUGAAUACCCCAGUACACGAUAUGAUGUACAUUAUUGCACAGACAUGCUGCAUUGUUUAUUCAAAACAUGUUUUACUGUAGUUCUGUAUUGUAUUCAGAUAAUAUAGCUUCACUUGUUUUAUCUAAUUGAGUUAAAUUUCCUAUAGGGAAGGUGACUUUAAACUUCUAUCGGUGAUUUUUACUAAUGCAUGUAGUUCUUGUUGAGUUUACAAUCAUUGCCAUUAAAAGUUGCUCAAUGUGCAUAUCUUCCUUUCAUUCAUGGUAGAAGUGGUGGAAUAUUAUAUUUUUGCUUUCUCUUAAUUUGACUAGUAUGUUUCUGAUUCAGAGGUUUAUCAGUACAUAUUUAUAACAUAUGUGCGUUAUGUAUGCACACUCUGCUUUACUGUUCUAGAAAUAUUGAUUUAUAUCUUAUUUGCGAUGUUCCAAUUUCAUUAAAGGUGUUAUUUGAUUUUGUC